GAGGCUUGCAGAUCCCUUGGACCUAGGGCAAA
rnacentral:piRNA from 1 species